rnacentral:piRNA from 1 species
GACAAACUCGGCCCACAUGGGGGUUUCGCC